rnacentral:miRNA from 1 species
AAAUGUAGUAGACUUUAAGUAUA